CUCUUUCUCCUGUUUCCUUCCUACAGACCAAAAGGAGGUGCUUUCAAAUACACAGCCUUUAAUCUGGAGGAAAUAUAUGUCCAGUCAUUGCAUCUACAGUGGCUAAUGUUGCUGCUUACAGACAGCCUCAGUCCCACUGAGAAACAUCUCAGAAAACACAACAUUUUGGAAGGACCCUGAGAACAGCUAUGACAACAUUCUGCAAGAUGUGAAAUUUGGUAGACUGCCUGCUUCCAGUGAUCCAGGGACCCUCUCAGGGACAAUCCACAUCUCACUGAAAUCACUCCAGUGUUUUCUUACCUUCUGGCCAAGGUUAAGCAAUCUGAAUGUUGCUACAAACUCUGCCUCACCUAAAUGCCAGGUGCCCCAAAGGGCUGCCAUGCAGCCAACAGCUGUCUUUACACCGGAGGAGGAAGAGGUGACUGCUGGCUCCCUGCACUGAGGGCUGUGCCAAACCCAGCUCUGUGCUGCAGGUCUGCUUUGGGAGCUGCUGCACAGGGGCUUCACCUUGGCAUCAUCUGAGUAUGGAGAUCCAGCCACAGGUUAUCCAGUGACUGAGUGAGUAACUGCUGAGUCAGUACUGCCAUUUGUGGAAGCUUUUUUCCAAAGCCAGUUCCCCUGCUUUAAAUUCACUAUGCUCUUUGAGUGUAUUUGUUUCUUUUAUUUGUACAAUGAUGCUGCUUCCUCUGAGAAAAACAAAGAUAAUGACUGUAUAUCAUUUGUACUUGGAUUUUUCUCUUUAUAUUUUUCAUUUCUGAACACUCCAUGUCCUGAUUAAACUGGUGCUCUGUUUGAAGUCAUGGCUUUUCCUCUUUUCAUGGUGUUUGAGAUGGAAUGACCAGUCAACUCUUCUUUAUUCUGCCACCCCUUGAAUAUAGCAUUAGAUAAACGUGGUUGAGGUAAUUUAAUACCUUCUGCAUAAUGCCUCACGUGUAGUAUGGAAGAGGGCAAGUUUCUUGGGAGUGACAGACCUCAGCGACAGUCUGUUGCCAUGUGAGUGCUGCAUCCCACUUAGAAGUUAAUCAACUGAUGGAACUGAUCAACAGACUUAAAAUAUAUGAACUAGCUUAUAAAAUAUGGCCUGACAAAAGCAUUACUGCAGCAUCUUUUGGAAGAGCAGAAUUUCCUUCUUAUCCCUGGUAGUUAUACUUUAUAGAACCCUAAAGGAAGACCAGUAAAACCACUAGAGAAAUAAGGGAUCAAUCUACUAAACAUUUCCAGAAUUAGUUUUAACAUUAUUUCCACAAACCACUGGGAGAAUUCAAACCCAUGCAUGAAACAGCAGCAGCAGUGCCUGUCCUGGGCACUGCACAUGUUAGAUGGCUGCUUGGUUGAGCCUCUUUUCAUUCAAGCUGAUCCAAAACAAUGUUUCAGGGGGCUUUUGGGGAAUAAUCCAUUUUCAGAUAAUUAAUACAAAGC